UCCGUAGGCGGGCGUCUAAGUCAGUGGUGAAAUCUUACAGCUCAACUGUAAAAUUGCCAUUGAUACUGGAUGUCUUGAAUUAGUGUGAAGUGGUUAGAAUGUGUAGUGUAGCGGUGAAAUGCAUAGAUAUUACACAGAAUACCAAUUGCGAAGGCAGAUCACUAACACUAUAUUGACGCUGAGGGACGAAAGCAUGGGGAGCGAACAGGAUUAGAUACCCUGGUAGUCC
rnacentral:rRNA from 1 species